rnacentral:rRNA from 1 species
UUGGGUGACGAGUGGCGGACGGGUGAGUAAUGUCUGGGAAACUGCCCGAUGGAGGGGGAUAACUACUGGAAACGGUAGCUAAUACCGCAUAACGUCGCAAGACCAAAGAGGGGGACCUUCGGGCCUCUUACCAUCGGAUGUGCCCAGAUGGGAUUAGCUAGUAGGUGGGGUAACGGCUCACCUAGGCGACGAUCCCUAGCUGGUCUGAGAGGAUGACCAGCCACACUGGAACUGAGACACGGUCCAGACUUCUACGGGAGGCAGCAGUGGGGAAUAUUGCACAAUGGGCGCAAGCCUGAUGCAGCCAUGCCGCGUGUAUGAAGAAGGCCUUCGGGUUGUAAAGUACUUUCAGCGAGGAGGAAGGUGUUGAGGUUAAUAACCUCAGCAAUUGACGUUACUCGCAGAAGAAGCACCGGCUAACUCCGUGCCAGCAGCCGCGGUAAUACGGAGGGUGCAAGCGUUAAUCGGAAUUACUGGGCGUAAAGCGCACGCAGGCGGUCUGUCAAGUCGGAUGUGAAAUCCCCGGGCUCAACCUGGGAACUGCAUCCGAAACUGGCAGGCUAGAGUCUUGUAGAGGGGGGUAGAAUUCCAGGUGUAGCGGUGAAAUGCGUAGAGAUCUGGAGGAAUACCGGUGGCGAAGGCGGCCCCCUGGACAAAGACUGACGCUCA